UUACGGUCACAUCACGUUGAAACAUCGGUUCUCAUAAGUUCACCGAAGUUAAGCAACGUUGAUCCUGGUCAGUGCCAAGAUGGAUGACCGCUUCGGAAUACCAGGGGCUGUAAG